AUGGGCGAAAGCCUGAUGCAGCAACGCCGCGUGAGCGAUGAAGGCCUUUGGGUCGUAAAGCUCUGUCCUUGGGGAAGAAAAAAAUGACGGUACCCUUGGAGGAAGCCCCGGCUAACUACGUGCCAGCAGCCGCGGUAAUACGUAGGGGGCGAGCGUUAUCCGGAAUUAUUGGGCGUAAAGAGUGCGUAGGUGGUUUUGUAAGCGCGGGGUGAAAGGCUAUGGCUCAACCAUAGUAAGCCCUGCGAACUGUGAGACUUGAGUGCAGGAGAGGAAAGUGGAAUUCCUAGUGUAGCGGUGAAAUGCGUAGAUAUUGGGAGGAACACCAGUGGCGAAGGCGACUUUCUGGACUGUGUCUGACACUGAGGCGCGAAAGCUAGGGGAGCGAACGGGAUUAGAUACCCCGGUAGUCCUAGCCGUAAACGAUGGGUACUAGGUGUAGAGGGUAUCGACCCCUUCUGUGCCGGAGUUAACGCAAUAAGUACCCCGCCUGGGGAGUAC
rnacentral:rRNA from 1 species